AUCUCCCUGUGGAAAUUUGAGAC
rnacentral:piRNA from 1 species